AAAGGAACAAAAUACUGAUUCAUGCUACAACAUGGAUGAACCUUGAAUACAUCAUGCUAAGUGAAAGGAAACUGACAAAAAGGCCACAUAUUGUGUGACUCCAUUCAGAUGAAUUGUCCAGAAGAAGCAAAACCAUAUAAACAGAAUGUUAGCCAGUGAUUUCCAGGACUGGGGAGAGGGAAGAAUGGAAGGGGUUGUCAUGGAGAUCAGAGCUGAGACUCUAGAGAGGCCUUGCCUGGACUGGAAUCCAGAAUCUUCUAUUCAUCAGCAGUGGAACAUUUGACAAAUUACUUACUCUGGUCUUCAAUUUCCUCAUAUGUAAAAUAGAGAGAAAGUUCUGCCGGUAACAAAACCUGCUCUACAAGCCAGGAGGAAAAAGGACUUAAAGGAAGAGGAAGAACACAUUUUUCAAAAUUCUUGUCAAAAUAUAUGAGGGGGGAAAAAUAUAAGAAGCGGAGAAAUAUGCCACUCGACUCAGGAGUCACUCUGGACAAGUGUCUUGGAAUCAAGUCCUAAAGGACAGCCAUCAUGGCAACAAAAGGUGGAUGUAAUUACAAAUAAGGGCCUUGGAAGAAUCUCUAAAACGGUUCCUGCAAAGAGUGCAGUUCGGAAAAAUCUACGCAAAAGAAGGACAAAAGUGGAAGCUCAUGAGAGCAGAGAAAAAGCAAAAGAGACAACCGAUAAAGGACACUGCUGGAAAAUGUUCUACGCUGCUGCUGACAGCAAAGCUGCAACAUGACUAAUGUCAAUCUGUUGAUCUUCCCUGACCAGAGAUCAAACCCUACAUUGGGAGCGAGGAGUCUUAACCAUUGGACUGCCAGGGAAGUCCCUGCCUGGUAAAUUGAAAUAUCAAAUAUCAACUUCUGAAGUAAGGGAGAGAAGGAAACAAAAAGAAAAUUGGGUAUUUAUUCUUAAAUAUAGCACCUUAGGGAGGCAGUUUGCAUAGCGGCUAAGAACACAGACUCUAGAGCCAGACUUGCCUGGGUUUGAGUCCAACUUCCCUUAUUGCCUAUGUGACUUUGGGCACAUUUCUUAUCUUUUCUUUGCCUCAGCUUCUGCAUCUGUAAAGUGGAAGACAGCUUGACCUCAUGGGGUUGCUACAAGGAUUAAAUCAGUUUAUAAAAAGUACUUAGAACAGUGACUGGGAACAGUAAGCACCACAUAAAUGUCAGUUACUAUUACUCAAAAUUAUAAUAAUGAAUAGAUCAAGGCUCUAGUAACAUUGUUAGUUUUUAGGGGUCUGAGUUUUUGUAAUGUUUCUGAUUUUUAAAAGAUCACAAAUGUGGCUUGGAUUACUCCAAGAAAAGAAGUUUGGCUUAAUACACUGAUAAAUGAGUUUUUAAGAAAGAAACCAUUUUGUAUGACCCAGUACAGGGAGUAGAGUUGACUAACAGGAGAUGUCUGGCUGGCAUAAAAAUCAUUAAAGAAAAUCCUGAGCACGAUGUUAAAGUCAACUCGGAAGCACGUGCUUUACAUUAUUGUCCUAUCAGUUCUUGAGUUCCUGGCAAGUGUCGCUGAAGCAGAUAGACUUUUUUUUCAAGUAGUCAUUCUCUGUUAUUGCUUUUGACAUAGAUAAACGACCUUCUAACUAACUAUUAGGAAACUUUUUGUAGGGUUUAUUUGUGAUGGUUAUUUAAAGUGAUAGCUGUGAAAGACCGUCAAAAUAGCUCUAACAUUGUGCUGUUCAAAAAGAAAGGCUAAUUUCUUUGAAAAUAAUAAUGAAAGGAUAAUAGAAUCUCAGAUAUAAGAAGGAAUAAGGUCUGCGAGCUCAUGGAUGGCAUUCAUCUGCCAAGACAGGGAAGUCUGUCUCAGGAGUUAACCAGUUUUGCUUGCUUCAUACUGCUGAGUACACUUGAUUUGCUAUAAUGGGGGCAAAGUUCACUGGGCAGUGCCCCAGCAAAUUACUUUUCUAGACAGGAAAGACUAGGGCAAUUUUGUCUCUACAGUAAUGGCCAAUUCACAGCCAUCUAAGACUCUGGCUUUUUAAUUUUUUUUAUUUUUUUAUUAUUAUUAUUUUUUUUGCGGUAUGCGGGCCUCUCACUGUUGUGGCC